rnacentral:rRNA from 1 species
CAGUCCCACGGUAAUACGGAGGGUCCGAGCGUUAAUCGGAAUUACUGGGCGUAAAGCGUGCGCAGGCGGUUUGUUAAGCGAGAUGUGAAAGCCCUGGGCUCAACCUAGGAAUAGCAUUUCGAACUGGCGAACUAGAGUUUUGUAGAGGGGGGUAGAAUUCCAGGUGUAGCGGUGAAAUGCGUAGAGAUCUGGAGGAAUACCGGUGGCGAAGGCGGCCCCCUGGACAAAGACUGACGCUCAUGCACGAAAGCGUGGGGAGCAAACAGGAUUAGAUACCCGUGUAGUCCCUGUCUCUUAUACA